rnacentral:rRNA from 1 species
GUACACGCUGUGACUAGCAUAUCAAUAAGCGGAGGAAAAGCAUAACAUGUAUACCUACGCUUAGGAUGUUGACAGCAGUAUAGACUGUACACGCUGUGACUAGCAUAUCAAUAAGCGGAGGAAAAGAAACUAACAAGGAUUCCCUCAGCUAACGGCGAGUGAAGCGGGAAGAGCUCAAAUUUGAAAUCUUGAAAGGUCACCUUUCACGAAUUAGUAGUUUAAGAAGUGUUUUCUGUUACGAUCGUAAUAUAAGUUCUUUGGAAUAGGACAUCACAGAGGGUGAGAAUCCCGUCUAUGAUUGCGAUUUGUAGCUUUGUGAUACACUUUCAAAGAGUCGGGUUGUUUGGGAAUGCAGCCCAAAACGGGAGGUAAAUUUCUUCUAAGGCUAAAUAUUGGCGAGAGACCGAUAGCGAACAAGUACCGUGAGGGAAAGAUGAAAAGAACUUUGAAAAGAGAGUUAAAUAGUACGUGAAAUUGUCAAAAGGGAAGCGUUUAACACCAGUGUUGUUUUCUGAAAAUCAACCUCUGUUAGCUUUAUGCAUGUUUGUUUAGACCUAAUCAGCUAUCUUUCAUGUUCUAUUGUUUGCAGUGGUGCACUUUUCAGUUUACAGGUCAACAUCAGUUUUUUUUACCGUAAAAAAGUUAAAGAAAGGUAGCUCAUGGCUCCGGUCGUGAGUGUUAUAGUCUUUUUCCUAUGCGGUAGGAGAGACUGAGGUCUGCAGUGUAGGCUAUUUGGCUAGAUACUCAGGUGCUAUGUGAUACCAUUUCAUAAACAACUUGUUGAUUAUGUUUUGUCUAUUGCAUACUCGCUUGUACUAUCAUACCUACGCUUAGGAUGUUGAGUAGCGACAUACGCAC